rnacentral:rRNA from 1 species
GAUGAACGCUGGCGGCGUGCCUAAUACAUGCAAGUCGAGCGAACAGACGAGGAGCUUGCUCCUCUGACGUUAGCGGCGGACGGGUGAGUAACACGUGGAUAACCUACCUAUAAGACUGGGAUAAUUUCGGGAAACCGGAGCUAAUACCGGAUAAUAUAUUGAACCGCAUGGUUCAAUAGUGAAAGACGGUUUUGCUGUCACUUAUAGAUGGAUCCGCGCCGCAUUAGCUAGUUGGUAAGGUAACGGCUUACCAAGGCAACGAUGCGUAGCCGACCUGAGAGGGUGAUCGCUCACCCUGGAACUGAGGCCCGGUCCCAACUCCUACGGGGGGCAGCGGUAGGGAAUCUUCCGGAAUGGGCGAGAGCCUGACGGAGCAACGCCGCGUGAAGGAUGAAGGUCUUCGGAUCGUAAAACUCUGUUAUUAGGGAAGAACAAAUGUGUAAGUAACUAUGCACGUAUUGACAGUACCUAAUCAGAAAGCCACGGCUAACUACGUG